rnacentral:rRNA from 1 species
UACAGAGGGGGCAAGCGUUGUUCGGAAUUACUGGGCGUAAAGGGCGCGUAGGCGGCCUGCUAAGUCGGAUGUGAAAUCCCUCGGCUCAACCGAGGAACUGCAUCCGAUACUGGCGGGCUUGAAUCCGGGAGAGGGAUGUGGAAUUCCAGGUGUAGCGGUGAAAUGCGUAGAUAUCUGGAGGAACACCGGUGGCGAAGGCGGCAUCCUGGACCGGCAUUGACGCUGAGGCGCGAAAGCUAGGGGAGCAAACGGGG